CAGGCGGUGUGGCCGUGGGCCGCGGCGAUGCACAGGGGCGUGGGAGGAUGCACGAUUUCUGUCCCAGUGGGAAGGGAUGGCCUUCCAGUGGACGUGACCUCCCCUGCAUGGGGUCGGAAGGAUGAGAUGGCAAAGGAGCGUCUGGUCACCUGCAAAUUGGACAUGCCUCAAACGCAUAGAAUGGAAUGGAAUCUUUGGUUUCCAAAUGCAGAGAAGGACUGGCUGAUCUCAGGAAGACGGAAGCAUCACAGAAAAACAAAAAAAAGUAACCUAAAUAUUACCUGUGACCUCCCUAUGCCUCAAGGCUGCAGCCACAUCACAGCUGGGAGGCAACAGAUAUGAAAUGAAGGAUUAACACAGAAAGGAGAGUGGGAUGGAAAGCGGGGGAGAGACUGGGGAUGACAUUUCUGAACCCCUGCCCCAGCUCUGGGGCCCCAGCCACCAGACCUCUUGUCUUUAUGCCAUAAGCACUUUCUGUGUGUUUUCUGUUACAUACAACUGAAGGCAUUCUUGGUUGAUACAGGUAGUGUAUUUACUCUGCCUUUCAAUCAUGGAAAUGUCCUGGUUUUAGUCUAAGGAGGUGCAGGGGGAAUGGCUCAGCCAGUGAAGAACUUGAGUUGAUCCUCCCAAGCCUUCUAUUCUUUGAUAAUAGUAACGACCUGCCUUCUAUGAUAAAACCCCAGUGGAUUUUGCAAUGACAACAGCCAACUCCAGACUCCCCAAGUGGAGGAGCAAUGGCACCAUAGUUUGGGCUCAUGAAUGAAUAGUAGCCAGCGCCACUGGAGUGACUACCUUUUAGUGUCACAGACCCUGACAAAUGGACCCUGAUAGAGACAUCCUUGGAAUCUCUGGCAAUGGACUCCUCCCAGAAGGGAAAUACGAACUCUGAGGAUCUGCCUGCUGUUCAGAGGCUUGACCGAACUGCAGAGUAUAAUUGGUCUCUGCUUCUUUCUUUGACCAAAGAACUGGGGGUUUUGGAGAUUUUUGAGCUUAAAUUUCCAAGCACAAAUACUUUGCAGCAUCAAAUAUCUUACAUGUAGGGAGAAAUCUAGCACUAGUACAUUUGUGUAGAUACAAUGACAUGAGGGGUAGUGACCACAGGAAAAUGAUCAGCACUGGGGUAAGGCAAUUUAAAGAAACAAAAUGAGAAUUAUUAGAGACUGCUAUCAAACUUCAAAUCAGAAGGGAGGUAAAGAUGAAGCACUUGUUAGGCAGAUAAUAAGAUGACAAAGCCUCAAAAUACGGCACUCAUGGAUCUUAAUUACCAAGCUAUCUGCUGGGUGUUUAAUCAGUGGCACAUACACUAUGCUAAUUAUUCCGGCUAAUUUCGUUAUAAUGCAAUUCUUUAUCAACCCUGCUAUGUAAAAAUUAGGAAUUGAAAUGUAACUAACACAAAUUAUAUUUAAGGCAACAUGAAUUUCUUUAUUUCAGCAUGAAAUCUUCUAGUCUCUAUUUCUUUAUCUUUCUUUCUGUGAUUAUCUAAUGUCACCCCCUCCCCAACCCAGCCCCCCACAGCCUAAACCAUCAUUUGAGGAGAAAGGAACCCAGCACAAAUAUUUCCCCUUUUAACUUCUAGGAAAUCAUUCGUUUGACUUUCUCCUUCAGCGAUUGUCCUUGAAAGGUGUAGAAUAUAUUUAAGCAAUCAGUGACAGACGGAUCCUAGCUUUCUCUGCAUCAGAUAAAGGUCGCUUUAUUGUUCUAUUUUAAUUUUUAAAUAAUCAUUGGAGGGUGCCAUAAUUCAUGUAUUUUCAGUGAUGUAUGUAACUUACAUCAAGUUGUGUUUACAAAUGUGUUUAGAUGAGGGCUAAUAACACAUAUCUUGUAGAGAAGCAUAAAUAUUGUCUGGAAUUUUUAAUGUCAUGCAGCUCUGCAUCCAAAGAGGUCAGGACUGCCAGGCUUGUGAUUUUCUCCUCCAUCAAUACUUUUGGUUUUGAACAAAUUUGCAGCAAAAUAACAAAGCCUAAUAAAUCAGUUGAUAAAACCGGGGUCUAAUUUAGUCCCAGCACUAAGUCCGUUGCCAAGGGAGGGCCAUGGUCUGGAAGAAAUGAACAGUCGCAAGUCCACAGACCCCCCUGUGACCUCAGAGAAAGGGACAAGCACUGUGCCUGUCUAGACUCACUCAAACUGACCGAGACAUAGCCCUGUCUGUGGAUUCACCUCUGAGACUCAUUUCUUCUUUGGGCCUGAAAUGUCCCUGCUUUUCCCUGAUAGCGUGGAAAGCAGCUCCUUCAUCCCCUGGUCCCCUGGGUGCUGUUGGGUGCAUACUCGCCUCCAGAUCCAGCUGCUGGGCCCUCCCCACUCUGGGUCAGCUGGGGCUUUGCUCCCAGGACAGAGGCUUCCAUCAUCUCGCAUCAUCCUCUCUCCUGUCUUUGAUUCCCUCUGUCUUAUUUUUAUUUCUCCUAAUUCCCAGCUCCGGCGACAUAGACGUUUCUUCUUGUGGUCAGAAGCUUUUUAAUUUUGCUAAAGAUUAAUGCUUUUUUUUUUUUUUUUUUUUUUUUGACAGAAUCUCACUCUGUUGCCCAUGCUGGAGUGCAGUGGUACAAUCACUGCUCACUGCAGCCUCUACGUCCCGGGCUCAUUCUAAUCCUCCCACCUCAGCCUCCCAAGUAGCUGGGACUACAGGUGUGUGCCACCAUGCCAGGCUAAUUUUUAAAUUCUUUUUAGCAGAGAGAGGGUCUCACUAUGUUGCCCAGGCUGGUUUCAAACUCCUGGGCCCAAGCAAUCCUCACGCUUCAGCCUCCCAAAGUGCUGGGGUUACAGUUGUGAGCCACCAUGUCCAAAUUGAAUUCCUUUUCAAUGAGUCUUUUCUAGCUUUUCUGUCUUGACAGUUUUGACUGAGAUGUUUGUGUGAAUGUAUUUUCCAUUCUGUGCGGGGCCAGGCUCACCCAUCAAUCCACCAGGCUGCAGUAGCCACUUUGUAGUGCAAUCUUGGUACUUGAACUUGAGGCGGCUCUUUGUGCAACGAGAGAGCAGGAGCCACUUUCAUUUCCUGUGUGUCUUCAGAGGCUGGAAACAAUGCAAUGGGAUGUGGGCACAGACUAGAUGUGAUG
rnacentral:lncRNA from 1 species